GUGCAUAUUAUAUAUAUAGGAACUCUUAAGUCUAUUUUUGAUAUAUCGACUAUUACAUUUUGCAUACAAUGUAGUCAAGGAACCAGGAAAAAAGCAAAGCCCUUAAUACAACAUUUGUUUUCAACAUGGUAUUAGAGCUAUAUUUAUAAUUACUACAACAUAAACAUGAAGUAGUAUUAUUAUAGUUGUUUCAGAAGUACUAGAACCAGAUUGCCUUUGCAUCUAUGAGCAUUUGCUUCAAUGAGCCAUCCAAGUGCAGGGAUAAGACAUCUUUUGCUGAGCCUACGUAUUUUCCACCUAUGAACACAGCUGGGACUGAAGGGUUACAUCCAAGGCCUCUUAAAGCCCACUCCAUUUCUCUCCCACUGGCGUCGCGAUCGAGCUCGUGAAUUGCAGGGCUUGCACCAAGUUCGUAAAAAAGUGUUUUGAUGCUAUGGCACAUGCAACAUGAGCUCUUGGUGAAGAUCACUGCAGCCCUAGUUGAAGCCAAAUCUCUCACCCUAUCCAUUGCAAAAACUCUUUGUGUUUGGUUUCCCUAACUAAUGAAACAAUUCUUUUUUUCUAUACAGCUAAUCAACUAAGUGGUGAUCGCUAGAACAAACAAAGAAAGCUAGCUAGCGAAGGUUUGUGAAGAGAAAAAGAUAAAACAAAACUAGGCAAGUAAGGAAGCUUCUGUUUUUGUUUGUGUGUAUUGAGCUACGAUAGACUCUGAGAUUCAUCAGGCGUUAUUUAUAAUGGCUGGCCAGGGUGGUGUGGAUUGAUUGUUUAGUCCGUUAAGGAAAAAAAUAGAAUAGAGGAUUCCAAAAAAAUUAUUAAAAAAAAUACAAAAAAGGAGAAAGUUCUUUGAG
rnacentral:misc_RNA from 1 species